rnacentral:ncRNA from 2 species
GUCUGUUGCCGUUGUCGUGGUCUGCGGACGUUCGCGUCCGGAGCUAAGAGGGAAGUCGGUGAGGGCGUGAAACCCUGAAUCCGGCGCUGCCCCCGCAACUGUGAGCGGCGAGCCGCUGUCCGUUUCGUGUCACUGACGCGCCGAAGCUGGUUCGGGGAUGCGUCGGGAAGGCCAGGGCAGGGGUGACGACCCGUGAGCCAGGAGACCUGCCUCGACAGAUAACGUCCU